GGUCAGCGAAUCAGCGAACCAGCGAGGCCCUCCGCUGAGCCCAUCCGCGGGUUCUUCCCGUGCUGGUGCCCUCGCCAACCUCGAACUCUUCCAAGCGCAGCGAGCCGCCAAGCCUGUCGACUGAUUCCUCCUGUGGCGCAGGCCUCCCCAAGCUCGGACUCCCCCAGCGAGCUCCAACGAAAUAGCCUCAUGAAGCAUAGAAGGCCUCCCCAUGCUCAGACUCCCCCAGCGAGCUCCAACAAAUCAGCCUCACGAAGCAUAGAAGGUUGGCCUUCAUUUCCCUCUUUGAGUAUAUUCGUAUGGCAUGGUUUGCUUCCAUCUGGAGUGUUUUCUCUUUCCCCCUCCCCACCCCCUUUUAGAGAGAAAGGUGUGUAACAUGGAUCAAAUUUUGAAUAAUGGACUGUAGAACUACCUAGCACCUUGUUAGCUGUUUCAUUGCUAGACAUUAAGCUUAAUAGUACCAAUAGUUAAACCUUAGUAGCUCUUUCAUUGUUAACAUUAAGUUUGACAGUGCCAAUGGUUAGAGUUGCCUCUCUGAGUUAAUGAUAUUAGGUCAUCUCAAUGGAUACACCUUGAUUAACCAUAAGAUUGUCCAUAUACCACAUGUUAUAGAGUAGAUUUUUCAUGAUGUUAGGUCAUCUAUUUUAUAGAUUAGAUUUUUGUAAUGUGGAGCAGAGAGAACACCAUGAUAAAUUAAAGAUAACUAUUAAUUAGUGGGUAAUAUAGUUAAUAAAUACAAUGAUACUACAAUCUAUGAUAUAUAAGUUUACAUUUCUCUCUCUGAGUCAAAUUGGAAAAUCUAGAAGAAACCUGGGAUUGAUAUAGAAGAAACCAUGCACUUGAAUAGAACGUUCCUGAUUCUCAUUACAUUUAUAUGAUAUUGUUCAAAACAUCACAGUCUACAUUUGUUCCCUGUUUCACACUAUGUUUAUAUAAUAUAAGAGAACCUAUUUACUAUUUUAAUGUAGCAUUCUUCUAAAUAAAUAUAUUUCCCAUUUAUAUCCUUCUGUAUUACUUUAUUUUUUUCUCCCUACUCUCCUAUGUUUUAUUUGCUGCUAUAUGAAAUGCAAAUCUGUGUUUGUUGCAUCUAUUAGUUAGUUGCAAAGAUAUCAUAUGUAUGUACAUGUAUUUUAAGCAUAGCAUAUGAAGAGAACAUAAUUAUUUUUUUAAUGUAUGUAUAUACUUUCAGCUCAUGCUAUUUAUAA